rnacentral:rRNA from 1 species
CCUACGGGAGGCAGCAGUGAGGAAUAUUGGUCAAUGGCCGCAAGGCUGAACCAGCCAAGUAGCGUGAAGGAUGAAGGAUCUAUGGUUUGUAAACUUCUUUUAUAGGGGAAUAAAGGUAUCCACGUGUGGAUAUUUGCAUGUACCCUAUGAAUAAGCAUCGGCUAACUCCGUGCCAGCAGCCGCGGUAAUACGGAGGAUGCGAGCGUUAUCCGGAUUUAUUGGGUUUAAAGGGUGCGUAGGUUGUCUUUUAAGUCAGCGGUGAAAGUUUGUGGCUCAACCAUAAGAUUGCCGUUGAAACUGGAUGUCUUGAGAGUGUGAGAGGUAGGCGGAAUGCGUGGUGUAGCGGUGAAAUGCAUAGAUAUCGCGCAGAACUCCGAUUGCGAAGGCAGCUUACUAGGGCAGAACUGACACUGAAGCACGAAAGCGUGGGGAUCGAACAGGAUUAGAUACCCGAGUAGUC